UUGAACGCUGGCGGCAUGCCUUACACAUGCAAGUCGAACGGUAGAGGGGCAACCCUUGAGAGUGGCGAACGGGUGAGUAAUGCAUCGGAACGUGCCCAGUCGUGGGGGAUAACGCAGCGAAAGCUGUGCUAAUACCGCAUGUGAUCUGUGGAUGAAAGCAGGGGGCCGCAAGGCCUUGUGCGAUUGGAGCGGCCGAUGUCAGAUUAGCUAGUUGGUAGGGUAAAAGCCUACCAAGGCGACGAUCUGUAGCUG
rnacentral:rRNA from 1 species